GUUGAAAACACGACGAAUAUAUUUCAGGCGCAUUUGUUCAUAAACUUUAUCAGUUUCAAAGAAAUUUAACAAUGUUUCAUUGGUAAAAUUUGUUUAUAUCGUGUUUAGUGUUGCAAAGAAGCUGGGUGACACAGAAUGAAAGAAUAUACAUCGAAACGUGUUGUUUUCUGCCGUUGCUAAGCUGAAUUCAGCAUCGUGUAUUAUCACAGUUUGAGAUUUAAAUCAUGCCUUAUCGUGCAAAUAAGUUCGCGGUAGCAGGAGGAUUAAUGUGUGGCUUUGCAAACUUGUUUGCCAUUGUAUCGUUGUUUACAACAAAUUGGGUUGUUAAUGAUUUCUUAGGUAAGUUUAAAUAAUUUUAAAUAAUGGUAAAUUGGUAUUUAAUAUCAUUUUAAUGUUUAUACAAAUAAAAUUAGACGUACAGACACACAGUGUAUUAAUGGUGGAUAUUUCCUCUGAAGGGAGUCUUGGAUUGUUUAAAUUAGAUUGGGAUCUAAUUAGACUGAUCUGGCUUGGCUUAGGGCCUUCAAAAUAAGCCAGCAACCACCGGAGCUCUGGUGGAUUCCAGAGACCAGAAUGAAGAUUCCUUCCUCUACUCUAACUCUCUAAGCUUCCAAACCAAUAG
rnacentral:lncRNA from 1 species